GAUCAUGGCUCAGGAUGAACGCUGGCGGCGUGCUUAAUACAUGCAAGUCGAACGAAGCACUUUUGACAGAUCCCCUCGGGGUGAAGAUGAUUGUGACUUAGUGGCGGACGGGUGAGUAACGCGUGGGGAACCUGCCUCGUGCUGGGGGAUAACAGUUAGAAAUGACUGCUAAUACCGCAUAAGCGCACAGUAAGGCAUCUUACAGUGUGAAAAGAUUUAUCGGCACGAGAUGGACCCGCGUCUGAUUAGGUAGUUGGCGGGGUAACGGCCCACCAAGCCCGCGAUCAGUAGCCGACUUGAGAGAGUGAUCGGCCACAUUGGGACUGAGACACGGCCCAGACUCCUACGGGAGGCAGCAGUAGGGAAUAUUGCACAAUGGGGGAAACCCUGAUGCCAGCGACGCCGCGUGAGUGAUGAAGUAUUUCGGUACGUAAAACUCUAUCAGCAGGGAAGAUAAUGACGGUACCUGACUAAGAAGCCCCGGCUAACUACGUGCCAGCCGCCGC
rnacentral:rRNA from 1 species